AUAGGGAUCUCAGACUAAAGACUUCCUCACAGCUUGAGUUCUUAUACAUUACUGUCUCUCAUAAAUAUGCACCAAUACACAAAUAAUUUCUAUUUUGAAGAUACAAAACGUAAUAUCAACAGAUGAAAUCCAAAUACAGCCAUAGAGAAAGCUGCUCUUCCAGAUGGAUCUGCUUUUUAGAUUCUUGUCUGGCUCUUCAUCUUCAGUGGGAUGUUUUCACUGGCCUCUGUGAAUACCCUGGUUCAGAUUCUGGAGUAUUCAGAACCGUAAUCUGCAUUCCUUUUCAAUCAGUUGUAGUCUUGGUGAUGAUCAGAAGCAGCUGACUAGGAAGUACUGUGGGGAAUUAAAAAUAAAUGCUGUGGAAAGUAACAUGAAACGUGGUGGUUUGGGACAACUGCUGUACAACAGGAUAAGCCUAUAUUUGUAUCAAACUAAAAAGAGAUGAAGAUUAUUGCAGGAAAAAAGAGCAGACUGGACUGAUUGUAGGAGAAGUAUUCUUUCCAAAUGACCCGAUGACCCAUCAAUUUAAUUUAUUUCAUUUAAAUUGUAUGUAUUGAGAUUCCAGCCAUGAAAUUGAUUGUAUAAUGGUGCUCCUCUGAGCCUGGGGGAGUCUUGCUGAAGCAUGGGUACUGUAAUAUGCCUAGGCUUUUGUGUAUGUGGAACCAUAAAUACCAGUGGAGCUCACAGCUGUCCUCACUGCCAAGGAAUUUCUGCAUCUUAUUCAUACAUCUCUAGCUAUUUAUUGAUAUUUUAUUUCUGGGGAUUGCAUCUUAGGAAGCGUGGAUCUCAGUUACAUGAUCCUUAAGGUGGAAUAGGCCAACUCCAGUGAGCCUUUAUUGAUUUUAGUGCUUACUGGGGAGGCAAUAUAGUGUCUGGUGUCAUAAGGUGCUGAGAUAGAAAAUCUGCAUGCUUCUAAGUAAUGAGCAGUAACAAACUGAAGCUCUUUCUAAGUCUCCUUUCAUCUCCUGUGUUAUAAAGCAAUACCUUAGUACAAAGAGGAUUAAGUAAACAGAUAAGAUUGACUGGGUCCAUAAUCAUUAGAGAACUGUAUAUUCCCCAGCCAUUAGCAAGUGGAAGAACAACAGAUAAUGGAUGUGAAGUAUUUAGUGUUCUCCAUCUUCUGUAUCCUUUUUGCCUGAUCUAUGUUUGAUAAUCUCUUAGGAUCAAAAUGGUUCUCCUUGUGUGGAUACUGCUUUUGCCCACUCACUAGGAAAUCAGGAAGAUUUGAAGUAAAACAUAUUUACUGCUGUUAUCUGCGCUGGGAAGGAGUAGAGAAAUUCAUAGAUAAAAUCAUGGUCAUUGGAAAGAAGUGCUGGAAGAGGAAUUUGUGUGUGUGAGAUCCCAUGAUUAGUUUUACUUCUCUGUACACUCGUUUCAUGUGUUUUGGGUAUGGAAAUACAAUAGCUUAUCAAAUGUAUAUUACUUCUUUGCUACUCUCCAUGUGUAUUAUCUAAGUCUAUUUGAGUUGAUAGAAAUUGGGAUUUUUUUCCUAUUCGUUGUUCAAAUGUGUGACAAUAUACUGCUUUACAUUUCAGGGAGAUAUAAGCAAGAAUCUUAAAUAAAAUCAAAUUUUUUUUAAAAAAAAAGCAAGAAAAAUUGAUAGACCUGAAGAUGAUCAAAAUUCACCUUCUCAUUUUAAAGGUGAAAAUGCUGAGAAUCUGGGUUGUCAAACAGGUAGUUUGAUUUUUAAUAGUAGUAUAUAUGUGCUGUGCAGUGUAGGAUUGUGGGGGCAACACACUUCCUAACCAGUCUUACAAGUCAAUUUUCUAUCAGUGUUAGGGGUCUAUCUGAUGAGGACUGUAUGCUAUGACGUUUCUCCUUCAUUUUAACUUCUCUGUGAGCUCCAUUGUUUUCCACUGAGUUUGUCUGGUAAAUCACAGCCUCUGUGAUGGCUUUUAACAACAGUCAUCAAACCACUCUAACUUCUUGGCAUACACUGAAGUCAGAAAAAUAUAUUUAACAAAUUGACACUGUACAAAUGCACAGACCAUAUGGCAUCUUGUUGAAGUAACUAGAUCUAUUUUAGUAUGCAAAUAGUAACUUAAUAUUAAAAACAAGCAUCUUUUCUGAUGCGACUAUACUUUGAGGUUGGGGGGGAAAUAGAAUUUUUACUUCUGCAUAGUAGGUUACUUUUGAUUCCAAACAGGACUGGUAAAGGGAUGAAACUGUAGAUUGAAUCUGUUCCUCAGCAUUGGUCAAACCGAAAAUCUGGUUUUCCUUUCCCUCCUUUCCUUUGAAAGAACUUCUAGUUUCUUAGGAAUUUAUUUAUAG